AAAGUGNCGGUACNUGCAGAAGAAGCGCCGGCUAACUACGUGCCAGCAGCCGCGGUAAUANGUAGGGCGCAANCGUUGUCCGGAAUUAUUGGGNGUAAAGAGCUCGUAGNCGGCUUGUCACGUCGAUUGUGAAAGCCCNAGGCUUAACCUCGGGUCUGCAGUCNAUACGGGCUAGCUAGAGUGUGGUAGGGGAGAUCAGGAAUUCCUGGUGUAGCGGUGAAAUGCGCACCAUAUCAGAAGUUUCNCCGGUG
rnacentral:rRNA from 1 species